GACGAACGCUGGCGGCGUGCUUAACACAUGCAAGUCGAACGGUGAAGCGCUUGCCUUUUUGGUGGGUGUGGAUGAGUGGCGAACGGGUGAGUAACACGUGAGUAACCUGCCCUCUUCUUCUGGAUAACCUCAUGAAAGUGGGGCUAAUACGGGGUAUUCCGGGUCUGUCGCAUGGCGGGUUUGGGAAAGAUUGCGCCUUUGGGUGUUUUCGGUGGGGGAUGGGCUCGCGGCCUAUCAGCUUGUUGGUGGGGUGAUGGCCUACCAAGGCGGUGACGGGUAGCCGGCCUGAGAGGGUGGACGGCCACACUGGGACUGAGACACGGCCCAGACCCCUGCGGGAGGCAGCAGUGGGGAAUAUUGCACAAUGGGCGCAAGCCUGAUGCAGCGACGCCGCGUGAGGGAUGGAGGCCUUCGGGUUGUGAACCUCUUUCGCCAGUGAAGCAGGCCUGCUCCUGUGUGGGUGGGUUGACGGUAGCUGGAUAAGAAGCGCCGGCUAACUACGUG
rnacentral:rRNA from 1 species